rnacentral:rRNA from 1 species
AGUGAACGCUGGCGGUAGGCCUAACACAUGCAAGUCGAACGGCAGCACAGUAAGAGCUUGCUCUUACGGGUGGCGAGUGGCGGACGGGGGAGGAAUACAUCGGAAUCUACUUUUUCGUGGGGGAUAACGUAGGGAAACUUACGCUAAUACCGCAUACGACCUACGGGUGAAAGCAGGGGAUCUUCGGACCUUGCGCGAAUUGAUGAGCCGAUGUCGGAUUAGCUAGUUGGCGGGGUAAAGGCCCACCAAGGCGACGAUCCGUAGCUGGUCUGAGAGGAUGAUCAGCCACACUGGAACUGAGACACGGUCCAGACUCCUACGGGAGGCAGCAGUGGGGAAUAUUGGACAAUGGGCGCAAGCCUGAUCCAGCCAUACCGCGUGGGUGAAGAAGGCCUUCGGGUUGUAAAGCCCUUUUGUUGGGAAAGAAAAGCAGCAGGUUAAUACCCCGCUGUUCUGACGGUACCCAAAGAAUAAGCACCGGCUAACUUCGUG